rnacentral:rRNA from 1 species
GACGUAGGGUGCGAGCGUUGUCCGGAUUUAUUGGGCGUAAAGAGCUCGUAGGCGGCUUGUUGCGUCGGCUGUGAAAACCCGCAGCUCAACUGUGGGCUUGCAGCCGAUACGGGCAGGCUUGAGUUCGGUAGGGGAGACGUGGAAUUCCUGGUGUAGCGGUGAAAUGCGCAGAUAUCAGGAAGAACACCCGUGGCUAAGGCGGCUCUCUAGUACGGUACUGACGCUGAGACGCGAAAGCGUGGGGAGCGAACAGG